AUUACUGAGUUUACGCUCUACAACCCUUUGUGAACAUACCUAUAACUGUUGCUUCGGCGGGUAGGGUCUCCGUGACCCUCCCGGCCUCCCGCCCCCGGGCGGGUCGGCGCCCGCCGGAGGAUAACCAAACUCUGAUUUAACGACGUUUCUUCUGAGUGGUACAAGCAAAUAAUCAAAACUUUUAACAACGGAUCUCUUGGUUCUGGCAUCGAUGAAGAACGCAGCGAAAUGCGAUAAGUAAUGUGAAUUGCAGAAUUCAGUGAAUCAUCGAAUCUUUGAACGCACAUUGCGCCCGCCAGCAUUCUGGCGGGCAUGCCUGUUCGAGCGUCAUUUCAACCCUCAAGCUCUGCUUGGUGUUGGGGCCCUACAGCUGAUGUAGGCCCUCAAAGGUAGUGGCGGACCCUCCCGGAGCCUCCUUUGCGUAGUAACUUUACGUCUCGCACUGGGAUCCGGAGGGACUCUUGCCGUAAAACCCCCCAAUUUUCCAAAGGUUGACCUCGGAUCAGGUAGGAAUACCCGCUGAACUUAAGCAUAUCAAUAAGCGGAGGAAAAGAAACCAACAGGGAUUGCCUCAGUAACGGCGAGUGAAGCGGCAACAGCUCAAAUUUGAAAUCUGGCCCUAGGCCCGAGUUGUAAUUUGCAGAGGAUGCUUUUGGUGCGGUGCCUUCCAAGUUCCCUAGAACGGGACGCCAGAGAGGGUGAGAGCCCCGUACAGUUGGACACCAAGCCUUUGUAAAGCUCCUUCGACGAGUCGAGUAGUUUGGGAAUGCUGCUCAAAAUGGGAGGUAUAUUUCUUCUAAAGCUAAAUACCGGCCAGAGACCGAUAGCGCACAAGUAGAGUGAUCGAAAGAUGAAAAGCACUUUGAAAAGAGGGUUAAACAGCACGUGAAAUUGUUAAAAGGGAAGCGCUUGUGACCAGACUUGCGUCCGGUGAAUCACCCAGCUCUCGCGGCUGGGGCACUUCGCCGGCUCAGGCCAGCAUCAGCUCGCUGUCGGGGACAAAAGCUUCAGGAACGUAGCUCUCUUCGGGGAGUGUUAUAGCCUGUUGCAUAAUACCCUUCGGCGGGCUGAGGUACGC
rnacentral:rRNA from 1 species